rnacentral:rRNA from 1 species
CAUGCAAGUCGAGCGGUAGCACAGAGAGCUUGCUCUCGGGUGACGAGCGGCGGACGGGUGAGUAAUGUCUGGGAAACUGCCUGAUGGAGGGGGAUAACUACUGGAAACGGUAGCUAAUACCGCAUAAUGUCGCAAGACCAAAGUGGGGGACCUUCGGGCCUCAUGCCAUCAGAUGUGCCCAGAUGGGAUUAGCUAGUAGGUGGGGUAACGGCUCACCUAGGCGACGAUCCCUAGCUGGUCUGAGAGGAUGACCAGCCACACUGGAACUGAGACACGGUCCAGACUCCUACGGGAGGCAGCAGUGGGGAAUAUUGCACAAUGGGCGCAAGCCUGAUGCAGCCAUGCCGCGUGUGUGAAGAAGGCCUUCGGGUUGUAAAGCACUUUCAGCGGGGAGGAAGGCGUUAAGGUUAAUAACCUUGGCGAUUGACGUUACCCGCAGAAGAAGCACCGGCUAACUCCGUGCCAGCAGCCGCGGUAAUACGGAGGGUGCAAGCGUUAAUCGGAAUUACUGGGCGUAAAGCGCACGCAGGCGGUCUGUCAAGUCGGAUGUGAAAUCCCCGGGCUCAACCUGGGAACUGCAUUCGAAACUGGCAGGCUAGAGUCUUGUAGAGGGGGGUAGAAUUCCAGGUGUAGCGGUGAAAUGCGUAGAGAUCUGGAGGAAUACCGGUGGCGAAGGCGGCCCCCUGGACAAAGACUGACGCUCAGGUGCGAAAGCGUGGGGAGCAAACAGGAUUAGAUACCCUGGUAGUCCACGCCGUAAACGAUGUCGAUUUGGAGGUUGUGCCCUUGAGGCGUGGCUUCCGGAGCUAACGCGUUAAAUCGACCGCCUGGGGAGUACGGCCGCAAGGUUAAAACUCAAAUGAAUUGACGGGGGCCCGCACAAGCGGUGGAGCAUGUGGUUUAAUUCGAUGCAACGCGAAGAACCUUACCUGGUCUUGACAUCCACAGAACUUUCCAGAGAUGGAUUGGUGCCUUCGGGAACUGUGAGACAGGUGCUGCAUGGCUGUCGUCAGCUCGUGUUGUGAAAUGUUGGGUUAAGUCCCGCAACGAGCGCAACCCUUAUCCUUUGUUGCCAGCGGUCCGGCCGGGAACUCAAAGGAGACUGCCAGUGAUAAACUGGAGGAAGGUGGGGAUGACGUCAAGUCAUCAUGGCCCUUACGACCAGGGCUACACACGUGCUACAAUGGCAUAUACAAAGAGAAGCGACCUCGCGAGAGCAAGCGGACCUCAUAAAGUAUGUCGUAGUCCGGAUUGGAGUCUGCAACUCGACUCCAUGAAGUCGGAAUCGCUAGUAAUCGUAGAUCAGAAUGCUACGGUGAAUACGUUCCCGGGCCUUGUACACACCGCCCGUCACACCAUGGGAGUGGGUUGCAAAAGAAGUAGGUAGCUUAACCUUCGGGAGGGCGCU